AACAACAACAACAACAAUAUAACUGCAAACAAAAAUAAUGAUGAAGAACCAUUAGUAUCUCAUGAGUUUACUCUUAUUCUUGCCUAUAUUUUCCUUCUACCCCUUAUUU
rnacentral:sRNA from 13 species